CACGGGGGGAGCAAGCGUUGUUCGGAAUCACUGGGCGUAAAGGGCGUGUAGGCGGUCAGGUAAGUGGAAUGUGAAAGCCCUCGGCUCACCCGAGGAUCUGCAUUCCAAACUGCCUGGCUUGAGUAUGGGAGAGGAUGAGGGAAUUCCUGGUGUAGCAGUGAAAUGCGUAGAGAUGUGGAGGAAUACCGAUGGCGAAGGCAGCCUCCUGGGAUAACACUGACGCUCAUGCACGAAAGCGUGGGGAGCAAACAGG
rnacentral:rRNA from 1 species